rnacentral:piRNA from 1 species
UACAGACCUUCAUACAAGAGCAAGCAGGUA